rnacentral:rRNA from 1 species
GAUGAGUUUGAUCGUGGCUCAGGACGAACGCUGGCGGCGUGCCUAAUACAUGCAAGUCGAGCGCGGGAAGCGAGCUGAUCCCUUCGGGGUGACGCUCGUGGAACGAGCGGCGGACGGGUGAGUAACACGUGGGCAACCUGCCUGUAAGAUCGGGAUAACUCCGGGAAACCGGGGCUAAUACCGGGUAAUACUUUCUUUCGCAUGAAGGAAAGUUGAAAGAUGGCUUCUCGCUAUCACUUACAGAUGGGCCCGCGGCGCAUUAGCUAGUUGGUGAGGUAACGGCUCACCAAGGCGACGAUGCGUAGCCGACCUGAGAGGGUGAUCGGCCACACUGGGACUGAGACACGGCCCAGACUCCUACGGGAGGCAGCAGUAGGGAAUCUUCCGCAAUGGACGAAAGUCUGACGGAGCAACGCCGCGUGAACGAUGAAGGUCUUCGGAUCGUAAAGUUCUGUUGUUAGGGAAGAACAAGUACCGUGCGAAUAGAGCGGUAC